CUUUAUAUAUUCUUUCGGGAGGGAGGCCGGCCCCAGUGGCCAGGCACUAUUAGCAUAUCCCACCGCAACCCCCGCGGGGGCUGUCUGGACAAACCUCCGCCUUUCCUCUACAGACAAUCUGCUGUGUACUGCCCCUUUUGACGCUAAUGGUUUUACUGUAUUUCUGCUGGGGCGGCAGUGGGUCCCCAACCUGCUCAUUUGCACUCUCUAGAUAGGCUAAAACAAGGGAUCACUUAAGGAGUGUUUCACACAAAAGUGACCAAGGCAGUCCAACUUUUUGCAAUUGGACACACAUUUUAAAAUAGUGGUAAUAAAUAGAAAUCCCUUUCAGCUGGCACCAAGAGCCGACCUGCCCUCCCAAUCCUGGGCGUGAGGAAUCACCUGAUUUGGGGGUGUUUGUUUCUCUUUUUCAUGAACUUCAAUUAUCUCGAAAACUUUUUCCAGCAAUUGGAUUGAAUAACGGUUACUAAAAACUUGAAGUGGCAUUUUCAAUCUUGGAGUGAAUACAGGGUUUGCCUUUCCAAAUCUAUUUUGUAUAGCUUCAGAUGAGUAAAGUUUUGCUCAGAUUGUCAUUUAUUCUAGGCUCUACCUUAUUGAGAGUAGGGAGGGAGGUUCCUUUUCCCAUGACUGGGCUUGCUCUGAGUUCUCCCUGUAUGUCUGCUCAUCUAAAAGGAGGUGGGGCACAGGAGGGCCAGGUGACCAGGAACAUUCCUCCCGUUCUUGCUUCCUUCAUUUUCCCCUUCUGUACGUAUUUGUUGAGCACCUUCUCCUUUGUGCCAGGCCUUCCCUAGAUCCUGAGCAGGCCAAAGACCUGCACUGAAAGUGUCUCUAAGAUUUCCAACAGAAGAAGCCCAGUUUUCGACGGCAAACUCCCUUUCCAGGGAAUUAUUUUCUUAAAGCAACACUGGUUCAUUGAUCCAGCAUCUUCAGGGGCCAGAGAAGUAGCAACCUUUUCAGGGUGCGAUCUCUCUAAAGUGAAGACCUUGAAAACCAGAGGUGGGAGAGUGACACUGUCAGUCACUAAGGUUUGCUAGCCACACCAUUGCUGUCUCCUCUCUUCUGUCCUGUCAUCUCUAAGAAAAAGAUCUCUCCUGAAAAUCAGGUUCCCUCUCACACCAAUGGGCUGCUUAAUCAUCUGACCAGUGGGAAAUCCAUCUGCACCUUUUUUAGGGCUAUUAACAAGUCUAUGCCUUUGAAAUGAAUACGGUAUCCAGGGCUACGCCAGAUAAAAAGAGGCAAGUUCAAGAAGAACCCAGGUGGAAACUAAGAUGCCAUCCACGCUGGUGGAAACAUUCAAAUGCACAGCAAAUGCAAAGCACAUUGCUACCUCUGAAAUACAAUAGUGGGUAGAUAUCCUCCCCCAGGAAUUCUCAGCCAAGUCCCACAGUUUCUAUUAGCAGCCAUAUGACCACUUUUUUAUUUUUUUGGCUGUGGAGUCCACAAAUUAGCUCGGACUUGUGCUUUGGACACAAAUAAACUUGGUCUUUAAAGUUUGAGUGAAAGUUAGAGGUUACGCUUCUGCUCAUCUUUCAGCUAAUUUCUGAAAGCACUUAACGUGAUUUGUACUCAAGCCCCUCAGCGCGAAAUAUUUUUAACUAACAAUUAUUGAGAAUUUUCUAUUUGCCCCGCACUGUUCUCAACCCUUUCCUUAGAUUAACUUAACAAUUAAUACUCCAAACCACCCUGUGGGAGCUAUUAUUGGGCCCAUUGUAGAAAGAAAGUAAACUCGAGCUCCAGGGACUAGGUUAUUUGCCCCAAGGUCAUACAGGAUUGGAAACUAGGCAUCCUGUCAUUAUAGUUCCUACUCCUAGAGGUGAUUUUGUUUGUUUUCUUCUUCAAUUAAUUUAGGCUCCGUGCGCUUCCUUAGGGCUCCAGAGCAGAAACUCGCAAAAGCUGGCUACUCAACAUCUUUCCCUGGCUCCUGUGCCUGGGAAGACGCCGUCACUCAGGAGCCUCUGUCAGUAAGGGUAGUUCUCAGAGGUUAGAGCUGUCUCUGGUAAGGUGAUCUCAAAACAAAGUUACCAGAGUGCCGCGAGCGAGUGGAACUAAAGAAGCCGAGAAAACACAAGCGCCCGGCGGCUUAAUGGGACUUGCUAGCAGGAGAACAGGGUCCGGACUUGAGAGCCCUUGGGACGCAAGUGCUGAAAAUAGGAUCUCAGAGUACCAAAGUAAAAAGAAAUAAGACAAAACUUUUAAAACGCUGUCAGGGGCGAGAGAAGAAAGAGAGAGAGAGAGAGAGAGAAAAAAAAAAGGCAAUAUGCUAAGACAGUAGGCAGCCAGCACCACAAAGAUGGCUACAGUGUCCCAAUUCAGGAGCGGUCUCCCUGCUCUUUUCCCAGGGGAGACCUGGAAGGGGAAAAAGAAAGAACUGGGUGAGCAACAUAGAGAAAAGCAUUUUUUUUUUUUGAGUGGGUUGGCCAGGGAAGCAUGGGAAAAGUUUUAAAAAUGGCUCUGAAAAGAUCUACUCAGGGCACCCUUUUGUACUCAAAGUCGGAUUAGAUUGGCUUUUGCUCCUCACACAAAGAAUGAAAAUAAGUUUUCCACUAUUUCUGCAAAGAAGUGGAUUUCUUGCUUGCGGAGAAAACGCACAUUUAUUUCAUAUGUAAACAGGUUAUUAGAAAUGACACUCCAACACUGUCUGCUAGGAAAGUCUAACCAUAGGUAGUUGAGGGGAAGAAAACCCAGUCACCUCUGGUGCUAUAAAUGGAUACCCACUAAGGCUCUGGUGAAGUAUUUAUUUAUUUAUUUAUUUCAUUUUAUAUUCUGAAAAAAUAAAUACAUUUGAUUUUCUUACAAUUUAGAAUUAUAACCAGGUUCUAACUGCAAUGACCUUUACGUAACAUCAACUUUUUUUUUAAGUGAAAUCUGUGUUAGUUUAAGCAUUAUGGCAACACACUAAUAUUGAUGGACAGAUCACACCAGCAAAAUGAUGCUCAUACCUUCUUCUUCUAAUAAAUUUUGCCCACCCUAGGCUUUCUGCAUUAUUGAAAAUUCUCUAUGCUUUUCUUGGAGGGAGAAACCAAAUACAUAUAGAAGGAUACAUACAUUCCAAUUCACUUCUGCCCCUGCCUGCAGAUCCUUAUCAACUCCUGGACUAAGGGAGUUGUUCUUGAUAUUUUUUAUAUUAUAGAUGACUUCACAAUGUGCUCAACAAUUGCAAAUUGCUAUUAGCUCUGGGAAUCAGGCACACCUAAGUAAACACAUUAGUACCUGCCAGAGCUGCUGGAAGAAUUUGUGAAGACAGCUGAGGAAGACAUUGGCCUCUGCUUGAAUUAGAGGACUUCCAGGAGAGAUCAAAGGCCUAAGUAAGGACAUUUAGCAGCCUUGAGAGUACAGAAAGUAGCCAGUUCUUACAGCAUUAUCUUUGUUCCAGCACAUGGCAUAGCCAUUCCAUCUCAGACUGACUCUGAACUAGGCUUGCAAAAAAAUUGCUUUUUUCAGAGUGAAACCUCUAUGAUGGAGGAUCAUCUUUUAUAAGUGUAAUAGUUUAAGGGAGUGACUGGAGGGGCCUGUCAGAGAAAUAGCUUGGUGGUUUGGCUCUUUGAGAAAAUACUAUGUUAUUGAUAAUUUAUCAAUGCAUUGGAUUAGGCAAUUAGAUAUUCAAAGCUUAAAAAAAAUGUCAAAAAAAAUUCCAGCUAUGGUGUUGUGGGAGAGCGAUUUUGAAACGACAAAAUGGGAUAAAAUAUUACUAGAAGAAAAACACAACUGGGUAAAUUCUAACUUUAGUAAAAAAAAAAAAAGUCUUAAUAAGGAUAGAGAUCACUUUCAGCAUCUCAAGAUUUCUCUGCUAGUUUCAGAAAUAGUUGCAAACCCUAAAUUCCAGCAUUCCCUCCACUCCCAAAACAAAUGCAAGAGUUUGAGGAAAAAUAAAUGAGACUGUUAGACCUAAGAGGAUUUCCAGUGUUCAGGCUUGGAAUUCAGUGAUCCAGGUAUUAAAAUUAGUAUGAAAGCUGGCAUUUGAUUUUCUGCAAAUUAUUUCUGUAGUAAUAUAAUAAAGAAAAUCACUCAUUAUUUUGUACUUGAUAACUUUAUACCUGCCUCUGGAAAGAGGCUUGAAUUUAAUCCCAAAUUGCUUAUCUUUACCAAGUUAUUAUGUCUUGAUUAUCUGCUUCCACAGCCCUGUUUAUUUUGGCUUUGGCCUCAGUAAAGAUUAUCAUCAUUAAUAUCAAACAAAAACAUUUUAAUUGCAAACACACCAAGGAUUUCACUGGAAAGCCUAACAUGUCAUCUGUAGCAGUGGAGGUCACAUGAAGUCUUUGGGAAAUAUUUGCUCUAUUUAAUGAAGAGACUUCUAUAGGCAAACUUAUUCCAAACAAUUUCUCAAGUUACCCAGCUAAGAGAGAUAGAGAGGAUUUGGCUUGCAAAGACUGAAUAAAAUCCAUCAACAAGUAAAGUCCACGAAUUAAUAAAAGCAUUCUGCUGUUGAGCCAUUUAUAACACAGAUCUUACUAUAAGUAUAGGCUAAAUUAUAAAUUAAAUGAGUUCACCUAAUCAGUUACAUUAUUUUGUGUUGCAUAAUAAAUUUGAAUUUUAAAAAUAGAAGUGUGCAUAUAUACAAUUUGGGGAAAAUCCCUAUUGAUUCUCAGGGAGAAAAUGAUGGGCAUCUAAUAAGCAUAAUUAAUGGGCAUAGACACUACCCAGACAUAUUCACACAUGUUUUGGUUGGAUAAUUUGAAAUGCUUUACCACUUAUUUUUUUAAGUUACUGCUCUAAUUUGGAGUUCGGUAGCUAGCCACUCUUGAGAGAGAGCUUUUAGAAAACAAACGCCAAGGAGAGCCAAAUUUUUCCCCAGACCAUAAAAUGUUGCUUAUUAAUUUCCCAAGGCAAGCUGGGCUCAGUGGUAUGGGCCUGUAGUCCCAGCUACCUGAAAGGCUGAGGCUGGAGGAUCACUUGAAUCCAGGAGUUCAAGCCUGGGCAACAGGGACACAUCACCCCUUAAAAAGAAAAAAAAAAGGAGGAAAGAAAGAAAUUAACAAUGUGCCAAGGCAUCUGUUUCACAGAGCAUGAUGGUUAAGAACACAGGCUUGAAUCCACUGAUAAUUGCCUGGCUCUGAAUCCUGGCUCUAUGCAGUACUUAACCAAGUGCAGGAAACUCUGUUCCAAGGAUCUUCGCAGUACCUCUCUCAUCUGUUGUAGGAUUAUGAGUUAAUAUUUAAAUACUAAGAAUGGCUCAUUUAUGUUGCUUUUGUUCUCAUUGUUGUCAAUAUUUUCCCCAGCCAGAGCAAGGAAAGGCUGAAGAAACUAUGGCUUUUGAUGGAAGAAAAGGGUCUUUGAAUUGACUAAUGAAGAAGAGAGCUGGCAUCUAGUGUUUAUUUUGUGCCAUUUUGGCUAAGCACUUCACAUGUGUUAUCUCAGUGAAUCUUCACAACCUCAGGAGGAAACAGGACUAAGAAUGAGCAGUGACUAGCCCUAGACAGUGGCAGCCUGGAUUCCAUCUAGGUAGCCAACCCCACACAGGCUCAGCUAAAUCUCCCACCUACCUCUCCCAAACCUUUAAAAGAGAUUGUAUGUCAAUGUCAGCUUCCACUAUGAACCUUUCUGCCUUUUAAAUUUGUUUCAGAAGAAAUCUGAAUUUCCCAUAUACUCAGAAAACGCAGUGACUACUAUCGCCAGGAAGAGGCUUUCCUUUCUGAGAGGAAAAAGGGGCAAGAUACAGCUCUGUACCUCCAGGGGGCACUGUCUGUGGUGCUAUCUGGAACUUAGGUGCGCAACAAGAAAGUACAGCCUUUGGAGGGUUAGGAAGGAAAGGGUGGGCUGGGAAAUACUGAAUCCGAUUUGAUUUUCACGUCUGCUAACUGAAGACUAGCUGUUGGGGAGGAGGAGGAAAGGUAGAAGUUCAGGGGUGGGGGAAGGGAGUGAAGGUGCCACUUACAGAAUCUAAGAGAGGAGUCGCAAUUCAAAAGAAAUGGCUUCCUCCUCUCAUCUGCCUCACUUCCCACUGUGUUUCUUGGUGGUCGUUUCUUCCUGAGGUUACAGGAUAAACAAACCUGGCACACGUUGUAAAAUCCGCAUGGUGAGGAGCUCCUGGGGCUUCUAGCCUCUUUGGGGCUUUGCUGUUUGGCUCGGCUAAGAGGUUGCAUGUGUGUUGUUGUUGUCUUUUGCCCUCAACCAUUGAAACCUUCCCUCACUUGAAGCCGCCCUCCCUUCAAAGCAGCCCACCCCACCUCCAGAGACAGAUUGCCCAUUUCUUUUAUCUUUCGUAUAUGGAAAACAAACCCAAGCCAAACGAGGCCUUGAGGAUAUUCCAGUCUGCUAGGGACCAGUCUAGUUCAAGAAAACUGGGGAGGGGGCCCGAGAUCCGGCCCUGAGGAUGCCGGAUGCAGCCCCGGGAACUCCAGAUCCACACUUCAGGACAAGAGCGGCCUGGGAAGGCUAAGAGGGAAGGCCGUUUGUGGGUAAAUCCGCUGAAGAUCUUUUUGGGAAAUGAGCACAGUUUUGGUGUGGUAAUUUCUUGCAACCAUAUUUUCCUAGAUUGAAAAUUCCAUUGUUAACUUUGGGUAAGUAAAUCUCACCCAGAUCUCCAGGUAUAGGAGUGUAAAACCAGACGGAAAAAGAUGCUGAUAAAAGGAAAAAUGACAUUUUUCUUCUGGGCACUAUUCACUUCCAAUGACAAGUGUGAGGUCUACGAGAGAGAGAACAGUAUCCAGUUUAAUUCAGACUAAGGAAAGCCAAAUUUCCUUUCAAUUGGCAUGUAAGGAAACACCCAAAUAAAUGGGCUUGUGUGGUGUCUAAAUUAAAAUAUGGCUCCUCUUUAUUUUUGUACACAUGCCUCCAAACAUAUUUUUCCAGUUCCAUCAAAUUAGGACCAACUUUGUUCAUAUAGAAACUUCUUUUUAAUAUUACAAUACCAGGAUCCUCGCACAUUUUAUAUACAUCAUUCCA
rnacentral:lncRNA from 1 species